GACAUUUAUUUAAUAGGGACUUACAAACAGAAGCAAUGUCUUGGGAGGCUGCAAGAGAGCAGAUCCCUGCACCCGGCCUACAGAAAGUAUUCUUUAUAUGGCAAGCGUUUAGGGUAGAACACGUGCAGCUGGUCAUGUCUUCAGACUUUCUUGCCAAGACUCGUGACCACUGGGGAGGUCAGGUAAGUAUCUUUAUGAGGGGGUUACCUAGGCACUGUUGAAACACUUCACUGCAGAGCACCUUGGUGUGCGGAAGUCAAACACUGGUGAUGGUGGCAUUUUUGUUUCAAGAAGGCAUCUCUUGCUUUUCCCCGCUACCCACGGAAGGGGCCCAUAUGGCGUUGUUCUGGAUUCCCGUCGUAACUUAAAGGGAAACUUUCACGAUGUCCGGAGCCCUUGAUGUCCUGCAAAUGAAGGAGGAGGAUGUCCUCAAAUUCCCUGCUGCAGGAACCCACCUUGACCUCCAAAUGGAACAGUACAUCUACAAAAGGAAAACUGAUGGCAUCUACAUCAUAGAUCUGAAGAGGACCUGGGAGAAGCUUCUGUUGGCAGCUCGUGCCAUUGUUGCCAUUGAAAACCCUGCUGAUGUCAGUGUCAUAUCCUCCAGGAACACUGGCCAGCGAGCUGUGCUGAAGUUUGCUGCUGCCACUGGAGCCACUCCUAUUGCUGGCCGCUUCACUCCUGGAACCUUCACUGACCAGAUCCAGGCAGCGUUCCGGGAGCCGCGUCUUCUGGUGGUUACUGACCCCAGGGCUGACCAACAGCCUCUCACAGAGGCGUCUUAUGUUAACCUGCCUACCAUUGCUCUGUGUAACACAGAUUCUCCUCUGUGUUCCGUGGACAUUGCCAUCGCACGCAACAACAACGGGGCUCACUCUGUGGGUCUGAUGUGGUGGAUGCUGGCCCGGGAAGUUCUCCGCAUGCGUGGCACCAUCUCCCGUGAACACCCGUGGGAGGUCAUGCCUGAUCUCUACUUCUACAGAGAUCCUGAAGAGAUUGAGAAGGAAGAGCAAGCUGCCGCCGAGAAAGCUGUGACCAAAGAGGAGUUUCAGGGUGAAUGGACAGCUCCAGCUCCUGAGUUUACUGCUACUCAGCCCGAGGCUGCAGACUGGUCUGAAGGCAUGCAGCUGCCCUCUGUGCAGUUCCCCACUGAAGACUGGAGCGCUCAGCCUGCCACGGAAGACUGGUCUGCAGCUCCCACUGCUCAGGCCACUGAAUGGGUGGGAACAACCACUGCGUGGUCUUAAAGUUCUUCUACAAACCCUUAACAAUGGAAAUAAGGUUGAUGGAAAAUAAACAUGAGUUUCUAAAAAAAAAAAAGAGAAGGCAUCUCUCUUGCCAUACAACGGGCUGUUUUCCUACACUGGGUGGUUCCAGCCCAGAGCCUCUCAUGGAGUUACAGUUAAGAGGCCGGCUGGGGCGUAGUCAUAAGACAGCUUGACAGGGCUGGAGGGUCCACUUCAAAGCCAGUGCAGGCUGUCGGCAGGAGGCCUCGGUCCUUCUCCGUGUGGACCUCUGCAGAGGACUGCUUGAGUGUCCUUGCAGCACAGCGACUGGAUUCUCUAACACAAUAAGAGUCAAAGACGAAAGCCACAAUGUCACAUAGUGUCAUUUCUGGUCUAUUGAUCAAAGUGAUCACGAGCCUGUCCAGAUUCAAGGGGAGGAACUGGGACCCCACCCCUCGAUGAGAAUAAAGUGAAAGAAGUUUCAUCCAUAGCUUCAGAUCACCCGCUGAAAUGUGGGACCAGGCUUCCUAUUGCUAGGAGACC